rnacentral:rRNA from 1 species
AGAGUUUGAUCAUGGCUCAGGAUGAACGCUAGCUACAGGCUUAACACAUGCAAGUCGAGGGGAAACGAUAUUGGAAGCUUGCUUCCGAUAGGCGUCGACCGGCGCACGGGUGAGUAACGCGUAUCCAACCUGCCCACCACUUGGGGAUAACCUUGCGAAAGUAAGACUAAUACCCAAUGAUAUCUCUAGAAGACAUCUGAAAGAGAUUAAAGAUUUAUCGGUGAUGGAUGGGGAUGCGUCUGAUUAGCUUGUUGGCGGGGUAACGGGCCCACCAAGGCGACGAUCAGUAGGGGUUCUGAGAGGAAGGUCCCCCACCAUUGGAACUGGGACACGGUCCAAACUCCUACGGGAGGGCAGCA